CGCUGCCCCCCCCCGGCAAUGGCAAGGUGCUGGCGGCCCCCAAAGGUAAGGAGCAGUGGGAGGGGGCGGAAUUAAUUAGGGGGGGGUCAGCGAAGCUUUACUGACCCCCCCCCCAUAAAACCCCCCCUCACAGCCCAGGCGGCAGCCCCGGGGCAGGCGCCCGCCCCCCCCCUGCUCCCCGGCAAGGUGCUGGUCCCCGUGGCCCCCCCCGGGCCCCCCCGCGCCCCCCCCUUCGCGACGCAGCCCCCCAGCAAGGUUAGUGCCCCCCCCCUUAUUUAACUCCCCCCCCACAUGUUGUUAAUUACCUCCCGUUAUUAAUUACCGCCCCCCCCCCAGAUCAUCCAGCUCAGCCCGGUGCCCGUCGUGCCCCCCCCGCCCAGCCCGGGGGGGGCGGGCGGAGGGGGGGCGCCUCCCCCUCCUCCCCCCCCCCCCCCAAGGUGCUGCUGCCCUCGGGCCCCGCCCGCAUCGCCUACGUGGCCCCCCCGCUGCCCCCCCCCGGCUCGGCCGCGCCCCCCCCCGCCGUGCAGCCCCCCCCCGUGGCGCUCGGCUUCACCUCCAUCGUGCAGCCCCUGCUGCCCGGUAAGGGGGGGGGGCACGGCGUGGGGGGGGGGCAGGCCACGCCCACUGUGUUGGCCACGCCCACUCGGUGUUGGCUCCGCCCACUGAUUUGUGUCCCCCCCCCCAGGGCAGAGCUCGCUGCUGGCCCCCCCCCAGCUGCCCCCCCCUGCCUCGGGGGGCCCGGUGCUCGCCGCCAUCUACCCCGGCCCCCCCGGCUCCGCCCCUCCUCCUGGCUCCGCCCCCGCGCCCGGAUUGGUCUACAGUGUGGCUGGCUCCGCCCCCCCGGCCCCGCCCAUCCUGCCCAAGGGGGGCGCGGGAACGGCCCAGGGGGCAGCAGCCCCCCUGAGCUUCCCCCCGGCGCCGGCGCGGCCCCCGCGGCCCCCCCCGAAGCCCCCCCAGAAGGUGAAGGCGGCGAUCGCCAGCAUCCCCCUGGGCUGCUACGAGGCCCCCCCGCCCCCACGGCCCCCCCCGGAGCCCCCCCGCGCCCCCCCC
rnacentral:lncRNA from 1 species